GAAAAAUAAAAAAGUUUAGGGUAAAAAUGUAAAAUAUUAUAGUUUGAUAUUCGAAUUAUUCAAAUUAUUCGAGUUAUUCGAAUUCGAAAACUCAAAUCGAUUCGAACUCGAAAUUUGAAAAAAAAAUUUGAGUUGAUUCGAAUAAUUCGAUUCGUUUAACUCGAAAUUUGAAUUUUUUUUCAAUUUUUUCGAAUCGAAUCGAGUUUUGCUCACCCCUACUUACUCCUACUUUCAAUGAAUUAUAGACGACAUCUAAAGGAUUCUAUAGGAAGCUACGGAACCUAAAUCUUCCUUCUAAAAUCAAAAUUACAAUAUGGCGAAUAUCGAAAAAUUUUAUCCCUACUUUAUCUAAUAUGUAUUACAAGCGACUAGUGGCGCAUGCGAUAUGCCCAAUAUGCGGGGGAGGGGUUGAAAUGACGGACCAUGUUUUUCGAAGUUGCCCUGCUUCAAAGGAUGUUUGGAAAUUAGUAGGGUACUCGUGGAUAAUGUCAAAUACAACUCAGGAAACGUUUGAAUGGCUUACCUGGGUAUUCAGUGUAAGUUCUGUUCUUCAACGGAGGGUUUUUUGUUGUGCCCUUUGGGCCUUGUGGAUUGAAAGGAAUAAGCGUGUGCAUGAGAACUCCGCAAAAUCGGGCAGAGAGGUAGCCAAUUUCAUUCAAAGUUACAUUAAAGAACUAGAAGGUAUCGAAGAACGAGGGCUUACCAGGGGAGUUAUUAGCGCUAAACUGGAACCUCCUUCGGGGGUUUGUAUUAAAAUAAACUUCGAUGCGGAUUUUGAUUGGGCACAUUCUAGGUCGAGGUCGGGGAUAGUGGCCAAAAACGCCCUGGGGAAGGUGGUUGCCUCUAGAUCGGUCAUACAUGCAAAUGUUGGGGCGGCUUUUGCAGCGGAAGCUCUUGCCCGUUUAUGGGCAGUACAAACGGGGUUAGAUUUGGGUUUCACAGAUAUGAUUAUAGAAGGAGACUCUUUAUCAGUUAUAAAGAAAUCCAAGUCAGAUUCACAAGACAAAUCAGAAAUAAGUACUUAUACCCGGAAUAUAAAACGAAAUAUCAACAGUUUUCGGUCUCUACGAAUCAAACAUGCAAGACGCUCGGCUAAUCAACUUGCUCAUGUAAUAGCUACUGAAAGUUUGAGAAAUGGUGAAGAGUUUUACCUGGAAGAGAAGGUCCCGAGAUUCGUUGUGAGGAUAAUGGAAGAAGAAUGGAUUAGAGCCCGAUUAAGGAGGAAGAUGGUAAAAGCUCUUCGAUCCCUGGGAUAAAGAAAGCUUAGAAAUGUGUUUUUGAGAGAAAAGAUCGUUGG
rnacentral:lncRNA from 1 species